AUGAACGCUGGCGGCGUGCCUAAUACAUGCAAGUCGAGCGAACAGACGAGGAGCUUGCUCCUCUGACGUUAGCGGCGGACGGGUGAGUAACACGUGGAUAACCUACCUAUAAGACUGGGAUAACUUCGGGAAACCGGAGCUAAUACCGGAUAAUAUAUUGAACCGCAUGGUUCAAUAGUGAAAGACGGUUUUGCUGUCACUUAUAGAUGGAUCCGCGCCGCAUUAGCUAGUUGGUAAGGUAACGGCUUACCAAGGCAACGAUGCGUAGCCGACCUGAGAGGGUGAUCGGCCACACCGGAACUGAGACACGGUCCAGACUCCUACGGGAGGCAGUAGUAGGGAAUCUUCCGCAAUGGGCGAAAGCUUGACGGAGCAACGCCGCGUGAGUGAUGAAGGUCUUCGGAUCGUAAAACUCUGUUAUUAGGGAAGAACAAAUGUGUAAGUAACUAUGCACGUCUUGACGGUACCUAAUCAGAAAGCCACGGCUAACUACGUG
rnacentral:rRNA from 1 species